rnacentral:rRNA from 1 species
GACAGAGGCCCCGAGCGUUAAUCGGAAUUACUGGGCGUAAAGCGUGCGUAGGUGGUUCGUUAAGUCUGUCGUGAAAGCCCCGGGCUCAACCUGGGAAUGGCGAUGGAUACUGGCGAGCUAGAGUGCGGUAGAGGAGAGUGGAAUUCCCGGUGUAGCAGUGAAAUGCGUAGAGAUCGGGAGGAACAUCAGUUGCGAAGGCGGCUCUCUGGACCAGCACUGACACUGAGGCACGAAAGCGUGGGGAGCAAACAGG